CCAAUAGCGUAUAUUAAAGUUGUUGCAGUUAAAAAGCUCGUAGUUGAAUUUCGGGAUUGACACAUCGGUCGUGCCUUAAGGGGCAUGAACUGGUGUAGUCAAUUUCUCACCUUCUGGAGAACCGCGAUGCCCUUAAUUGGGUGUCACGGGGAACCAGGACCUUUACUUUGAAAAAAUUAGAGUGUUUAAAGCAGGCAUUU
rnacentral:rRNA from 1 species